AACGUAGGUUCCGAGCGUUAUCCGGAUUUACUGGGCGUAAAGCGCGUUCAGGCGGUUUGGCAAGUCGGGCAUGAAAUCUCUCGGCUCAACCGGGAGAGGUUGUCCGAUACUGCUGGACUUGAGGGCAGUAGAGGGUGGUGGAAUUCCUGGUGUAGCGGUGAAAUGCGCAGAUAUCAGGAGGAACACCCGUGGCGAAAGCGGCUCUCUGGGACGGUACUGACGCUGAGACGCGAAAGCGUGGGGAGCAAACAGG
rnacentral:rRNA from 1 species